CCUGGCAGCCAUAGCGAUACGGUACCACCUGAUCCCAUUCCGAACUCAGAAGUGAAACGUAUUAGCGCCGAUGGUAGUGUGGGGUUUCCCCAUGUGA
rnacentral:rRNA from 1 species